rnacentral:rRNA from 1 species
GACGAACGCUGGCGGCGUGCUUAACACAUGCAAGUCGAGCGGUAAGGCCCUUUCGGGGGUACACGAGCGGCGAACGGGUGAGUAACACGUGGGUGACCUGCCCUUAGCUCUGGGAUAAGCCUGGGAAACCGGGUCUAAUACCGGAUAUGACUCCAUGACGCAUGUUGUGGGGUGGAAAGCCUUGUGCGGCUGAGGAUGGGCCCGCGGCCUAUCAGCUUGUUGGUGGGGUGAUGGCCUACCAAGGCGACGACGGGUAGCCGGCCUGAGAGGGCGACCGGCCACACUGGGACUGAGACACGGCCCAGACUCCUACGGGAGGGCAGCAGUGGGGAAUCUUGCGCAAUGGGCGAAAGCCUGACGCAGCGACGCCGCGUGAGGGAUGACGGCCUCGG